rnacentral:rRNA from 1 species
UACGGAGGAUCCAAGCGUUAUCCGGAAUUAUUGGGUUUAAAGGGUCCGCAGGCGGUCUAUUAAGUCAGAGGUGAAAUCUUGCAGCUCAACUGUAAAAUUGCCUUUGAUACUGGUAGACUUGAGUUAUUGUGAAGUGGUUAGAAUGUGUGGUGUAGCGGUGAAAUGCAUAGAUAUCACACAGAAUACCGAUUGCGAAGGCAGAUCACUAACUGUAUACUGACGCUGAGGGACGAAAGCAUGGGUAGCGAACGGG